rnacentral:rRNA from 1 species
CAGGUUUACCUGUGUGACUGCGUACCUUUUGUAUAAUGGGUCAGCGACUUAUAUUCUGUAGCAAGGUUAACCGUAUAGGGGAGCCGGAGGGAAACCGAGUCUUAACCGGGCGUUAAGUUGCAGGGUAUAGACCCGAAACCCGGUGAUCUAGCCAUGGGCAGGUUGAAGGUUGGGUAACACUAACUGGAGGACCGAACCGACUAAUGUUGAAAAAUUAGCGGAUGACCUGUGGCUGGGGGUGAAAGGCCAAUCAAACCGGGAGAUAGCUGGUUCUCCCCGAAAGCUAUUUAGGUAGCGCCUCGUGAAUUCAUCUCCGGGGGUAGAGCACUGUUUCGGCUAGGGGGCCAUCCCGGCUUACCAACCCGAUGCAAACUGCGAAUACCGGAGAAUGUUAUCACGGGAGACACACGGCGGGUGCUAACGUCCGUCGUGAAGAGGGAAACAACCCAGACCGCCAGCUAAGGUCCCAAAGUCAUGGUUAAGUGGGAAACGAUGUGGGAAGGCCCAGACAGCCAGGAUGUUGGCUUAGAAGCAGCCAUCAUUUAAAGAAAGCGUAAUAGCUCACUGGUCGAGUCGGCCUGCGCGGAAGAUGUAACGGGGCUAAACCAUGCACCGAAGCUGCGGCAGCGAACGUAUCACUUAAAGCGAUUCAGCGGGUUACGAUUGACGGAGCGAAGCGACGUCAAAGCGUAUACAAAGUCGAGUCGGUUUAAGGAUACGUUCGUUGGGUAGGGGAGCGUUCUGUAAGCCUGUGAAGGUGUGUCGUGAGGCAUGCUGGAGGUAUCAGAAGUGCGAAUGCUGACAUAAGUAACGAUAAAGCGGGUGAAAAGCCCGCUCGCCGGAAGACCAAGGGUUCCUGUCCAACGUUAAUCGGGGCAGGGUGAGUCGACCCCUAAGGCGAGGCCGAAAGGCGUAGUCGAUGGGAAACGGGUUAAUAUUCCCGUACUUGGUGUUACUGCGAAGGGGGGACGGAGAAGGCUAUGUUGGCCGGGCGACGGUU